rnacentral:tRNA from 1 species
GCCCGGAUGGCGGAAUUGGUAGACGCACUAGUUUCAGGGACUAGCGUCCGUCAGGAUGUGCAGGUUCGAGUCCUGUUCCGGGCA